rnacentral:rRNA from 1 species
UACGAAGGGGGCUAGCGUUGCUCGGAAUCACUGGGCGUAAAGCGCACGUAGGCGGCUUUUUAAGUCAGGGGUGAAAUCCUGGAGCUCAACUCCAGAACUGCCUUUGAUACUGAGAAGCUUGAGUCCGGGAGAGGUGAGUGGAACUGCGAGUGUAGAGGUGAAAUUCGUAGAUAUCGCAAGAACACCAGUGGCGAAAGGCGGCUCACUGGGCCGGUACUGACGC